rnacentral:rRNA from 1 species
GAGUUUGAUCCUGGCUCAGAUUGAACGCUGGCGGCAUGCCUUACACAUGCAAGUCGAACGGCAGCACGGGAGCUUGCUCCUGGUGGCGAGUGGCGAACGGGUGAGUAAUGCAUCGGAACGUAUCCUGGAGUGGGGGAUAACGUAGCGAAAGUUACGCUAAUACCGCAUAUUCUGUGAGCAGGAAAGCGGGGGACCUUCGGGCCUCGCGCUCUUGGAGCGGCCGAUGUCGGAUUAGCUAGUUGGUGAGGUAAAGGCUCACCAAGGCGACGAUCCGUAGCAGGUCUGAGAGGAUGAUCUGCCACACUGGAACUGAGACACGGUCCAGACUCCUACGGAGGCAGCAGUGGGAAUUUUGGACAAUGGGGGCAACCCUGAUCCAGCCAUGCCGCGUGAGUG